GUAUGGGCUCUGCUGAAUUCCUGCUCUGAAGAGGAGGAGGAGGAGGAAGCUUUGCCUGACGAAGGGAGAAGAGGAGGUUGAGGAAAAGUCAGCUGCAGGCAUGAAGCGUGGCAGCCAAAGAAAAGAAAAUGUGGCAGAGGCAACUCCCAGACGUCUCCAUGCAGUUGCAAAAGGUGGGUUGCCUGUAUGGGCUCUGCUUUAUUCCUUAAUGUCGAAUGCUACAUCUGCCUACUUCCAUCCACUGGAAAAGCUUCUUAGCAGCAAGGAGUAAAGGGAACGGUGGGCAAUACCUAUCUAUCUCUCUAAAUCGGUAAGACCACACAGUCCUACACUUCCACAAGACCUGGUCCUUUCCAGAGGUGCAACCUGCCUUCUCCAAAGGUGGAUUUCAGCUCAAACAGUCUCUUUUCCUAUCCUCACACCAGUAACCCUGGCAACCUCCCAGAUAACAGUCUCUAUUCCUCGAUGGUCAGGGAGAUUGCAUUUUACCACGAUCUCUCAAAAAAUUGAAAUCUUAGCAUUUAGGGCCAAAACCAAAAGCUGAUUGAAUCAUUUACAUUUACAAAUACUGGCAUAUAUGUAUGCGUUUUGGAAAUUAUCAGCAGUUUGUAAUGUUAAGAGAGGUGUUCUAAAGAAAAGCACUUUAUACACUCAUGAGCAUUCCCUUAGAGUAGGCUCAUUGUUUUUUCCUUUUGUGGAGGUAUAAAAGUUCUUAGCCCCUUCAUGGAUCACUGCCUUGCCAUGGCGAAGGGGCUUGAAUAACUCAGAGAAGCUAUGAACUAUGUUGAGCAGGGCACCCAAGAUGAACAGGUCAUAGUGGAGAGUUUUGACCAAACGUGAUCCACCUGGAGGAGGAACCGGCAAGCCACUCCAGUAUCCUUGCCAAGAAAACUCCAUGCACACAGACAACAGGCAUAUAAAAGUUAUGACGCUGGAAGAUGAGCCCCUCAGGUCGGAAGGCAUCCAACAUGCUACUGGGGAAGAGCGGAGGAUGAGUACAAGUAGAUCCAGAGCUGAUGAAGUGGCCGGGCCAAAGCCGAAAGGACGGUCAGUUGCGGAUAUGCCUGGAAGCGAAAGGAAAGUCCAAUGCUGUAAAGAAAAAUAUUGCAUAGGAACCUGGAAUGUAAGAACCAUGAACCUGGGUAAGUUGGAUGUGGUCAGAAAUGAGAUGGCAAGAAUAAAUAUUGACAUCCUGGGCAUCAGUGAACUAAAAUGGACGGGAAUGGGCGAAUUCAGUUUGGAUGACUAUCAUAUCUACUACUGUGGGCAAGAAACCCGUAAAAGAAAUGGAGUGGCCCUCAUAGUUAAC